UACAGAGGUCUCAAGCGUUGUUCGGAUUCAUUGGGCGUAAAGGGUGCGUAGGUGGCGCUGUAAGUCGGGUGUGAAAUUUCGAGGCUUAACCUCGAAACUGCAUUCGAUACUGCGGUGCUUGAGGACUGGAGAGGAGACUGGAAUUCAUGGUGUAGCAGUGAAAUGCGUAGAGAUCAUGAGGAAGACCAGUGGCGAAGGCGGGUCUCUGGACAGUUCCUGGCACUGAGGCACGAAGGCCAGGGGAGCAAACGGG
rnacentral:rRNA from 1 species